AAAUAUUUAUAUAUAUUGGAAUCACACCUACCAUUUGUUAUUACUAUUCUUGUUUCUUGGGCCUCCCUUCUUCUUUGCUUUCUUGCUGGCUAGCUUCUGUCUAGUCUUGUGCAUGUCCACCUCCUACUCCAGCUUCUUGGCACCAGUAAUGGAUUAUCCUGCAAACCCUAACCCUAAUCCUCCUCUUCCUCCUCAUCAGCAUCAGUAUUUUCACCAGAAUAUCCUUGAUCCUUUUCCGGCUGAGUUUCAGUUAUCGGAUUAUCUCAUGCUUGAUGCUGAUAUUAUUGAUGGGUUUGCUGAUGAUUCCACCACGUCUGAGCAUAGUAUGGUCUCAUCGGAGCAGUUUGUUAGUGUUGGAAGUGGUGGUGGUGGUGGUGGUGGCGG
rnacentral:misc_RNA from 1 species